rnacentral:rRNA from 1 species
UGAGGAAUAUUGGUCAAUGGGCGCAAGCCUGAACCAGCCAUGCCGCGUGCAGGAAGAAUGCCCUAUGGGUUGUAAACUGCUUUUAUUUAGGAAUAAACCCCUUUACGUGUAGAGGGCUGAAGGUACUAAAUGAAUAAGCACCGGCUAACUCCGUGCCAGCAGCCGCGGUAAUACGGAGGGUGCAAGCGUUAUCCGGAAUCAUUGGGUUUAAAGGGUCCGCAGGCGGGCGUAUAAGUCAGUGGUGAAAGCCCGUUGCUUAACAACGGAACUGCCAUUGAUACUGUAUGUCUUGAAUUCGGUCGAAGUGGGCGGAAUGUGUAGUGUAGCGGUGAAAUGCUUAGAUAUUACACAGAACACCGAUAGCGAAGGCAGCUCACUAGGCCUGAAUUGACGCUCAUGG